GUGCUUGCUUCAUCAGCACACAGGCUAAAAUUGGGAGAAGAUUACCAUGGCUCCUGUGCAAGGAUGACAAAUUCUUGAAGCAUUUCUUAUUUUA
rnacentral:snRNA from 1 species